UGUCAUCGAUAAGGCAGUAAGGUGGUGCCUGCACUGAGGGAGUUCAGCGUUGCCUGUGGGCUCGGAGCUCAGUUUGAUCCUUUCAAGCUGUGUGACCUUGGGCCAGCAACUUCCCCCCUCCUAAGCUUUAUUUCCACCUCUGCAAAGGGAUGGUGCCAGCCACCUGCACUGCUGAUUUACCCAGAAGACACUCAGGAAAGUCUCCACCGACUCCCAGAGUGAAUGGCGUAGCUGGAGGAACCCACACCCAGAGACGGAGGAAAGGGACUCUGCCAAGGUCACACACCAGGUGGGCAGCAGAGCUGGGUUUCUGGGCCCCUCGUUCCAAGGACUUCUGCUGUGCUACAUGCUGUUACCAUGAGCAAGGCCCCGCGAAGGGCUUAGGGCAGGUGCAGAGAACCCCCCACGCCACGCCAUCCUACCAGAGAUGGGGGAGUCCCAAGGCAACACUGGAGGGGCUGAGUCCCAGCCCAGGCCAUAGGACUCUGGCCAGCUUUCUCAUCUCUGAAGCAGGCAUGGUCGUCUAGCGUCCGAAGCCUGUGGAAUCUACUGAGAAAGCCCUCAUUGCUGUGUGAACAGACACUGUGGGGCAGCGCUUAGGGCAUGAUAAAGAUUCUGGUCGUUCUUGAUGGCAGGUGAGGAGGCCAUCUUGGAGUCAGGUCACC